AUUGAACGCUGGCGGCAGGCCUAACACCUGCAAGUCGAGCGGAGCGGCGGACGGGUGAGUAAUGCCUAGGAAUCUGCCUGGUAGUGGGGGAUAACGUCCGGAAACGGGCGCUAAUACCGCAUACUAUCAGAUGAGCCUAGGUCGGAUUAGCUAGUUGGUGGGGUAAAGGCCUACCAAGGCGACGAUCCGUAACUGGUCUGAGAGGAUGAUCAGUCACAAUGGAAGUGAGAAACGGUCCAGACUCCUACGGGAGGCAGCAGUGGGGAAUAUUGGAAAAUGGGCGAAAGACUGAGCCAGCCAUGCCGCGUGUGUGAAGAAGGUUUUCGGAGUGUAAAGCACUUUAAGGUGGGAAGAGUUACCAACAGAAUAAGCAACGGCUAACUUCGUGCCAGCAGCCGCGGGAAUAC
rnacentral:rRNA from 1 species